GGUCAAAUUAAGGGCGUAUGGUGGAUGCCUCGACACAAGAUGGCGAUGAAGGACGUGGCGUGGCUGCGAUAAGCCUCGGGGAGGUGCUUAGCAACCUGUGAUCCGGGGAUUUCCGAAUGGGGAAACCCAGUAUCAUAAACUGAUACUAGCGCGCCUCACUCUUGUUCAGCGCGCGAUAUUCAAUAGAUAUUUGCUCGCUUCGCUCGCGAAAUUUGCAAACCUUCGGUUUGCGAUACUAAUUGACAUCAAUGAGUAUCGCGCCGCAGGUGCGAGUAUCGCAGCGCGAGUGCUGCAAGUAUCAAUGAGUAUCAGCGCCGAGCAGUAGCGAGGCGCGCUGCUUACCCGGUGAAGUGAAACAUCUCAGUAACCGGAGGAAAAGAAAAAAAUGCGGGCUUUGUCUAAAUUUUCAAGCCGUAAGGCGCGGAAAAUUUAGCAACAAAGACCAGCGCCCCGCCCUCUAAGCACGUAGAAUUAAGGAAGGAUAAUUCGCCAAGAUUAAAUCAUAAUUUUUGAAUUAGUCCUUGUUCAACGGGCAUAGAGGGCGGGGUCAAGGUUUCGUUACUAAAAAUUCUUCGCUUUCAGCUCGAAUUUUUAGACGAAGCCCUUGAUUCCCCUAGUAGCGGCGAGUGAACGGGGAGGAGCCUAAACCUAUCUUGUGCGUAGCACAAGAACCGUUGACUUUUGACUUUUGACAUUUGACAUUUUUGUUAAUUGUCAAUAGUCAAUUGUCAAUUGUCCUCGCGCUGCGCGCGAGGUGGGGGUUGUAAGACAAGAAAUUCUUUCGACUUUUGACCUUUGACUUUUGACAGUUGACUUUAUGUCAAUUGUCAAUUGUCAAUAGUCAAUUGUUAAGAAAGAGUUGGUUACAAAUUGUUUUGUUAGCCGAAGAGUUCUGGAAAGGCUCAUCAAAGAGGGUGAUAAUCCCGUAGGCGAAAACAAAACAACCAAUUUUCUUGUUCUUGAGUACUCCGAGGACAGAAAGCUUCGGAGGAAGCAACCGGAACUAUCCGGUAAGGCUAAAUACAUCUUGUGAUCGAUAGUGAACUAGUACCGUGAGGGAAAGGUGAAAAGUAGGCCGGUGAGGCCGGUGAAAUAGAACCUGAAACCAUAUGCCUACAAGGAAGCGAAGCUUGUGCUCCGCACAAGAACCGUUGACUUUUGACUUUUGACAUUUGACAUUUUUGUUAAUUGUCAAUUGUUAUUUGUCAAUUGUUCUCGCGCGGAGCGCGAGUGACGCUGUGCCUAUUGAAGAAUGAGCCAACGAGUUAUUUUGCGUUGCGUGAUUAAUCCCUACGGGGAGAAGUCAUAGGGAAACCGAGUCUGAAUAGGGCGUCCAACACUGACUUAUACGGACUAAACACUGACUAUUGCGGAAAUUUUUCCGUCUUAGUCCGUGUAAAGUCUGUGCUAGUCCGUGUUAGCGUAGCGCGAAAUAGACCCGAAGCCAGGCGAGCUUACCUUGGCCAGGAUGAAUCUCGUCGAAAGGCGAGAGGAGGUCCGUACCGGUGGAUCGUGCAAAAUCCUCGGAUGAGCUGAGGUAAGGAGUGAAAAGCUAAUCGAGCCUGGUAAUAGCUGGUUCUCUCCGAAACAACUUUAGGGUUGGCGUCGAACAAAAACAGGCGUGGGGUAAAGC
rnacentral:rRNA from 1 species